CUACGGGUGGCAGCAGUGAGGAAUAUUGCACAAUGGGGGGAACCCUGAUGCAGCAACGCCGCGUGGAGGAUGACGCAUUUCGGUGUGUAAACUCCUUUUAUAUGUCAAGAAAAUGACGGUAGCAUAUGAAUAAGCACCGGCUAACUCCGUGCCAGCAGCCGCGGUAAUACGGAGGGUGCAAGCGUUACUCGGAAUCACUGGGCGUAAAGGACGCGUAGGCGGGUUGGAAAGUCAGGUGUGAAAUCCUACAGCUUAACUGUAGAACUGCACUUGAAACUUCUAAUCUAGAGUAUGGGAGGGGGAGAUGGAAUUAGUGGUGUAGGGGUAACAUCCGUAGAUAUCACUAGGAAUACCUAAAGCGAAGGCAAUCUCCUGGAACAUUACUGACGCUAAGGCGUGAAAGCGUGGGGAGCAAACAGGAUUAGAUACCCCGGUAGUC
rnacentral:rRNA from 1 species